rnacentral:rRNA from 1 species
CCUACGGGAGGCAGCAGUAGGGAAUCUUUCACAAUGGGCGAAAGCCUGAUGGAGCAACGCCGCGUGCAGGAUGACGGCCUUCGGGUUGUAAACUGCUUUUAUAAGCGAGAAAUAUGAUGGUAACUUAUGAAUAAGGAUCGGCUAACUACGUGCCAGCAGCCGCGGUCAUACGUAGGAUCCGAGCAUUAUACGGAGUGACUGGGUGUAAAGAGUUGCGUAGGUGGCAUAAUAAGUAGCUAGUGAAAUCUGGUGGCUCAACCAUUCAGACUAUUAGCUAAACUGUUAAGCUCGAGACCGGUAGGGGCAGCUGGAAUUUCUGGUGUAGGAGUGAAAUCCGUAGAUAUUAGAAGGAACACCGAUAGCGUAGGCAGGAUGCUGGGACGGUUCUGACACUAAGGCACGAAAGCGUAGGGAGCAAACGGGAUUAGAUACCCCUGUAGUC